AUGUUUUCAAUUCUUCAAAGUUAUAAAUCCUCGAUCAAUUUUGGUUAUCUCGAAUACGCCCUUUUUCGAAUGGAAUGCUUAAAUCAUUUCAGGCAUUUUUCCGAGGAGAAACCUUGAGACAAGUUGCGUCAUGAUAAUGGUAAAAUCCAUUGUGAUGUUUAGGGUGAAUUUUGAGCUCGUCACAAGUUGCUGAUGAUCGAGAAAUUCAUUUUUUGGUGAUUAGAAAGAAUAUCAUUAUGUAGUAGCAUAUAUGUAAAUUAUCUCCACCAACACAUAUGUUUGUUUACGUCUCCA